rnacentral:rRNA from 1 species
CCAAUAGCGUAUAUUAAAGUUGUUGCAGUUAAAAAGCUCGUAGUUGAAUUUCGGGGUUCUACCGUUGGUCGGGCUAACCAGUCUGUACUAGCGUGUAGAAUUCCUACCUUCUGGGGAACCAUCAUGUUAUUAAUUUAGCGUGGUGGGAAACCAGGACCUUUACCUUGAAAAAAUUAGAGUGUUCAAAGCAGGCUUACGUCUGAAUACAUUAGCAUGGAAUAAUAAAAUAGGACGGUGGUCCUGUUCUGUUGGUUUCUGAAUCACCGUAAUGAUUAAUAGGGAUAGUUGGGGGCAUUAGUAUUCAAUUGUCAGAGGUGAAAUUCUUGGAUUUAUUGAAGACUAACUUCUGCGAAAGCAUUUGCCAAGGAUGUUUUCAUUAAUCAAGAACGAAAGUUAGGGGAUCGAAGACGAUCAGAUACCGUCGUAGUCUUAACCAUAAACUAUGCCGACUAGGGAUCAGACGAUGUUAAAUUUUAUUGACUCGUUCGGCGCCUUACG